CCUACGGGUGGCUGCAGUGAGGAAUAUUGGUCAAUGGGCGCAGGCCUGAACCAGCCAAGUCGCGUGAGGGAAGACUGCCCUAUGGGUUGUAAACCUCUUUUAUAAGGGAAGAAUAAUUACUACGUGUAGUCCGCUGCCCGUCCCUUCUGCAUAAGCAUCGGCUAACUCCGUGCCCGCAGCCGCGGUAAUCCGGAGGAUGCGAGCGUUAUCCGGAUUUAUUGUGUUUAAAGGGGGCGUCUUCUUGAUUUUAAUUUCUUGUUAAAACGUCGGGGCUUCACCUUGAUUGGCCAUUAAAACUGGAGUACUAGAGUACAGACGAGGUAGGCGGAAUAAGUUAAGUAGCGGUGAAAUGCUUAGAUAUAACUUAGAACCCCGAGAGCGAAGGCAGCUUACCAGACUGUUACUGACGCGGAAGCACGAGAGCGUGGGUAGCGAACAGGAUUAGAUACCCUGGUAGUC
rnacentral:rRNA from 1 species